rnacentral:rRNA from 1 species
GCACACUGCUCAGUAACACGUAGCUAACCUACCCUUAGGACGUGGAUACCCCCGAGAAAUUGGGGUUAAUCCGCGAUAGGUGUAAUGUCCUGGAAUGGUAUUACGCCUAAAGGUGUAUCAUACAUGUUGAUAUACGCCUAAGGAUGGGGCUGCGGCCGAUCAGGCUGUUGGUGAGGUAAUGGCUCACCAAACCUUUGACCGGUACGGGCCAUGAGAGUGGUAGCCCGGAGAUGGACACUGAGACAAGGGUCCAGGCCCUAAGGGGCGCAGCAACCGCGAAACCUCCACAAUGCACUCACGUGCGAUGGGGCUAUCUCGAGUGCCACCUGAUGAAGGUGGCUUUUCCUUGGUCUUCAAAGCCUUGGGAAUAAGAGGGGGGCAAGACUGGUGUCAGCCGCCGCGGUAACACCAGCCCCUCGAGUGGUGGGGAUGAUUAUUUGGCCUAAAGCGUCCGUAGCCGGCCGUGAAAGUCUUCCGUUAAAUCCAGCGUCUCAAGCGUUGGACCGCGGGAGAUACUACAUGGCUAGAGAGUGGGAGAGGUCAGCGGUAUUCUGGGGGUAGGGGCGAAAUCCUUUGAUCCCCGGAGGACCACCAGUGGCGAAGGCUGCUGACUAGAACACGUCUGACGGUCAGGGACGAAAGCUGGGGUAGCGAACCGGAUUAGAUACCCGGGUAGUCCCAGCCGUAAACGAUGCAUGCUAGGUGUUGGGUUGGCCACGAGCCACCCCAGUGCCGCAGGGAAGCCGUUAAGCAUGCCGCCUGGGAAGUACGAUCGCAAGAUUGAAACUUAAAGGAAUUGGCGGGGGAGCACCACCAGGCGUGAAGCCUGCGGUUUAAUUGGAUUCAACGCCGGA